rnacentral:rRNA from 1 species
AUUGAACGCUGGCGGCAUGCCUUACACAUGCAAGUCGAACGGUAACAGGUCUUCGGAUGCUGACGAGUGGCGAACGGGUGAGUAAUACAUCGGAACGUGCCCGAUCGUGGGGGAUAACGAAGCGAAAGCUUUGCUAAUACCGCAUAAGAUCUACGGAUGAAAGCAGGGGACCGCAAGGCCUUGCGCGAACGGAGCGGCUGAUGGCAGAUUAGGUAGUUGGUGGGAUAAAAGCUUACCAAGCCGACGAUCUGUAGCUGGUCUGAGAGGACGACCAGCCACACUGGGACUGAAACACGGCCCAGACUCCUACGGGAGGCAGCAGUGGGGAAUUUUGGACAAUGGGCGAAAGCCUGAUCCAGCCAUGCCGCGUGCAGGAUGAAGGCCUUCGGGUUGUAAACUGCUUUUGUACGGAACGAAAAGACUCUUUCUAAUAAAGAGGGUCCAUGACGGUACCGUAAGAAUAAGCACCGGCUAACUACGUGCCAGCAGCCGCCGUAA